UGGUCAAGUUAUUAAGGGUGCAGGGCGGAUGCCUUGGCACUAGGAGCCGAUGAAGGACGUGAUAAGCUGCGAUAAGCUUCGGGGAGUUGCACGUAAACUUUGAUCCGAAGAUUUCCGAAUGAGGAAACUCACUUAGAGUAAUGUCUAAGUAUCAUUAAGUGAAUACAUAGCUUAAUGAGGGGAACUCAGGGAACUGAAACAUCUAAGUACCUGAAGGAAGAGAAAGAAAUUCGAUUCCGUAAGUAGCGGCGAGCGAACGCGGAUUAGCCCAAACCAAUAAAGUUUUCUUUAUUGGGGUUGCGGACAUAUCAUAACGAAGAGGUAUCGUAAUUGAAGAGGUUUGGAAAGACCCACCACAGAAGGUAAUAGUCCUGUAUGUUAAACGAGAAGACUUUAGAUAUGAUCCAGAGUACCACGGGACACGUGAAACCCUGUGGGAAGCAGGAGGGACCACCCUCCAAGGCUAAAUACUACCUAGUGACCGAUAGCGUAUAGUACCGUGAGGGAAAGGUGAAAAGAACCCCGGGAGGGGAGUGAAAUAGAACCUGAAACCCUGCACUUACAAGCUGUGGAAGCACAUUUCUUGUGUGACCGCGUACUUUUUGUAGAACGGGCCAACGAGUUACGUUAAGUAGCAAGGUUAAGCACUUAAGGUGUGGAGCCGUAGCGAAAGCGAGUUUUAACUGAGCGUUCAGUUACUUGACGUAGACCCGAAACCGGGCGACCUACCCAUGAGCAGGAUGAAGCGAAAGUAAAAUUUCGUGGAGGUCCGAACCCACGAGCGUUGAAAAGCUCGGGGAUGACUUGUGGGUAGCGGUGAAAUUCCAAUCGAGCCCGGAGAUAGCUGGUUCUCCCCGAAAUAGCUUUAGGGCUAGCCUCAAGGUGAGAGAUACGGAGGUAGAGCACUGAAUGUCCUAGGGGGUAUUGCACCUACCGAAGACUAUCAAACUCCGAAUGCCGUCAUCUUAUACUUGGGAGUCAGACUGUGGGUGAUAAGAUUCAUAGUCGAAAGGGCAACAGCCCAGAUCGUCAGCUAAGGUCCCUAAAUGUAAGUUAAGUGGUAAAGGAUGUGGGAUUGCACAGACAACCAGGAUGUUGGCUUAGAAGCAGCCACUCAUUCAAAGAGUGCGUAAUAGCUCACUGGUCGAGUGAUCCUGCGCCGAAGAUUUCCGGGGCUAAAACUUACUACCGAAGCUACGGCAUCAUUAUGAUGGGUAGGGGAGCUUCCCAUACGGGUUGAAGCAUGACCGUAAGGACAUGUGGACAGUAUGGGAGUGAGAAUGUUGGCAUGAGUAGCGAGAUGUGGGUGAGAAUCCCACAGGCCGUAAACCCAAGGUUUCCAGGGGAAGGUUCGUCCGCCCUGGGUUAGUCGGGACCUAAGCUGAGGCCGAAAGGCGUAGGUGAUGGACAACAGGUUGAUAUUCCUGUACUACCGAUAACCGUUUGAGAGAAGGGAUGACACAGUAGGAUAAGCUAAGCACACUGUUGGUUAUGUGUGCCCAAGCAUUGAGGCAGUCAAAGUAGGCAAAUCCGCUUUGAUAAUGCUGGGAUGUGAUGGGGAGCGAAAUUUAGUAGCGAAGUAGCUGAUUUCACACUGUCAAGAAAAGUCUCUAUCGAGGUUAAAGGUACCCGUACCGCAAACCGACACAGGUGGGUGAGGAGAGUAUCCUAAGGCCAGCGAGAGAACUGUUGUUAAGGAACUCGGCAAAAUGACCCCGUAACUUAGGGAUAAGGGGUGCCACCAUCAGGUGGCCGCAGAGAAUAGGCCCAAGCGACUGUUUACCAAAAACAUAGGUUUCUGCUAAGUCGCAAGACGAUGUAUAGGAGCUGACGCCUGCCCGGUGCUGGAAGGUUAAGGGGAUCUGUUAGAGCAAUCGAAGCAGUGAACUUAAGCCCCAGUAAACGGCGGCCGUAACUAUAACGGUCCUAAGGUAGCGAAAUUCCUUGUCGGGUAAGUUCCGACCCGCACGAAAGGCGUAACGAUUUGGGCACUGUCUCAACAACAGACUCGGUGAAAUUGUAAUUCCGGUGAAGAUGCCGGAUACCUGCGACAGGACGGAAAGACCCCAUGGAGCUUUACUGUAGCUUGACAUUGGGUCUUGGUACUACAUGUACAGGAUAGGUGGGAGGCUUUGAAACCAGGACGCCAGUUUUGGCGGAGCCAUCCUUGGGAUACCACCCUUGUAGUACUGGGACUCUAACCAUAGGCCAUGAAUCUGGUCUUGGGACACUGUCAGGUGGGCAGUUUGACUGGGGCGGUCGCCUCCCAAAAGGUAACGGAGGCGCUCAAAGGUUCUCUCAGUACGGUCGGAAAUCGUACGUAGAGUGUAAAGGCAAAAGAGAGCUUGAUUGCAAGACAUACAGGUCGAGCAAGGAUGAAAAUCGGACUUAGUGAUCCGGUGGUUCUGCGUGGAAGGGCCAUCGCUCAACGGAUAAAAGCUACCCUGGGGAUAACAGGCUUAUCUCCCCCAAGAGUCCACAUCGACGGGGAGGUUUGGCACCUCGAUGUCGGCUCAUCACAUCCUGGGGCUGUAGUAGGUCCCAAGGGUUGGGCUGUUCGCCCAUUAAAGUGGUACGCGAGCUGGGUUCAGAACGUCGUGAGACAGUUCGGUCCCUAUCCGUCGCAGGCGUAGGAAAUUUGAGAAGACCUGUCCUUAGUACGAGAGGACCGGGAUGGACGUACCUCUGGUGUACCAGUUGUCCUGCCAAGGGCAUGGCUGGGUAGCUAUGUACGGAAUGGAUAAGCGCUGAAAGCAUCUAAGCGCGAAGCCAACUUCAAGAUAAGAUUUCCCACCGCAAGGGUAAGACCCCAGAAAGACUAUCUGGUUGAUAGGUCGAAGGUGUAAGUGCAGCAAUGUAUUUAGCUUAUCGAUACUAAUAGGUCGAGGACUUGACCAAU
rnacentral:rRNA from 1 species